UUGGCUCAGAACGAACGCUGGCGGCAGGCUUAACACAUGCAAGUCGAGCGGAGAGAGGUAGCUUGCUACUGAUCUUAGCGGCGGACGGGUGAGUAAUGCUUAGGAAUCUGCCUAUUAGUGGGGGACAACAUUUCGAAAGGAAUGCUAAUACCGCAUACGUCCUACGGGAGAAAGCAGGGGAUCUUCGGACCUUGCGCUAAUAGAUGAGCCUAAGUCGGAUUAGCUAGUUGGUGGGGUAAAGGCCUACCAAGGCGACGAUCUGUAGCGGGUCUGAGAGGAUGAUCCGCCACACUGGGACUGAGACACGGCCCAGACUCCUACGGGAGGCAGCAGUGGG
rnacentral:rRNA from 1 species